rnacentral:tRNA from 8 species
GCGAAGGUGGCGGAAUUGGUAGACGCGCUAGCUUCAGGUGUUAGUGUCCUUACGGACGUGGGGGUUCAAGUCUCCCCCCUCGCACCA